rnacentral:tRNA from 1 species
GGCGUGCUGGCGCAAUGGGAGCGCGUAGUCCUCCUAAGCAUCUGCAAGACUAAGGUUGAGGGUUCGAGUCCCUCGUACGUCG